rnacentral:rRNA from 1 species
UACGUAGGCAGCGAGCGUUGUUCGGAGUUACUGGGCGUAAAGAGUGCGUAGGCGGUUUUCUAAGUUUGGUGUGAAAUCUCCCGGCUUAACUGGGAGGUGCGCCGAAGACUGGAAGGCUUGAGUAUGGGAGAGGUAAGCGGAAUUCCUGGUGUAGCGGUGAAAUGCGUAGAGAUCGGGAAGAACAUCGGUGGCGAAGGCGGUCUGCUGGGCCGUUGCUGACGCUGAGGCGCGACAGCGUGGGGAGCAAACAGG